AACUUUCGGCAAUGGAUCGCUUGGCUCUCGCAUCGAUGAAGAACGCAGCGAAAUGCGGUACGUAAUGUGAAUUGCAGAAUUCAGUGAAUCAUCGAAUCUUUGAACGCAUAUUGCGCUCUCUGGUAUUCCGGAGAUCAUGCUUGUUUGAGUAUCAGUAAACACCUCAAAUCCCUCUACUGCUUGGAGGAUGUUGGACUUGAGCAAUCCCAACUGUUCGCAAGAGAAGGCGGGUUGCUUGAAAUGCAGGUGCAGCUAGAUUCUUUCUUCUGAGCUAUAAGCAUACUUAUUUAAUCCCGUCAAACGGAUUAUUACUUUUGCUGCAGCUAACAUAAAGGUUGAAGAGUCGCUAUGGCUGACUGAUGCAGGAUUUAACAUGUCGCGCAAGCGAUCUGUAAACUCGAUCUCAAAUCAAGCAAGACUACCCGCUGAACUUAAGCAUAUCAAUAAGCGGAGGCU
rnacentral:misc_RNA from 1 species